rnacentral:tRNA from 1 species
AACCCGGUAGCUCAAUGGUUAGAGCACCUGCCUUAUAUGCAGCCGGUUAUUGGUUCGAAUCCAAUCCGGGUUACAA